rnacentral:misc_RNA from 1 species
GGAAGGAUCACUAGUGAUUAAAUCGAGCGUGUCUUCAUUGACCGCUCACCCUUCUCACCAUCCACAUACACCUGUGCACUGUUUAGCCUGAGCCGGUUUUCCGGUCCAGGUUAUCAUUUCAUACAAACUCUAGUCUUAUGAAUGUAAACGUUUUAAUAACAUAAUAAAACUUUCAACAACGGAUCUCUUGGUUCUCGCAUCGAUGAAGAACGCAGCGAAAUGCGAUAAGUAAUGUGAAUUGCAGAAUUCAGUGAAUCAUCGAAUCUUUGAACGCACCUUGCGCUCCUUGGUAUUCCGAGGAGCAUGCCUGUUUGAGUGUCAUGAAACUCUCACCCUCUAGCUUUCUUAAUCGUGGCUAGCGGCGUGGACGUGAGCGCUGCUGCUUUGUUGCGGCUCGCUCGAAAUGCAUUAGCAGACCCUUUUCGUAAUCGGUUCCACUCAACGUGAUAAGUAUUUCGUUGAGGACAGUUGCAGCAAUGCGGCUGGCCGGGAUAAGAAAGGCAUAGUUGUCAGCUUCUAAUCGCCCUUGGGCAAUUUUUUAUGAUCUGGCCUCAAAUCAGGUAGGACUACCCGCUGAACUUAAGCAUAUCAAUAAGCGGAGGAAAAGAAACUAACAAGGAUUCCCCUAGUAACGGCGAGUGAAGCGGGAUGAGCUCAAAUUUAAAAUCUGGCGGUCUCAGAUCGUCCGAGUUGUAGUCUAGAGAAGCGUUUUCCGUGCUGGCCUGUGUACAAGUCCGUUGGAACACGGCGUCAUAGAGGGUGAGAAUCCCGUCCUUGACACAGAUCUCCAGUGCUUUGUGAUGCGCUCUCAAAGAGUCGAGUUGUUUGGGAAUGCAGCUCAAAAUGGGUGGUAAAUUCCAUCUAAAGCUAAAUAUUGGCGAGAAACCGAUAGCGAACAAGUACCGUUAGGGAAAGAUGAAAAGCACUUUGGAAAGAGAGUUAAACAGUACGUGAAAUUGUUGAAAGGGAAACGAUUGAAGUCAGUCAUGCUUUCCGAGACUCAGCCGGUUCUGCCGGUGUACUUCUCGGUUUGCAGGCCAGCAUCAGUUUUGGGCGGUGGAAAAGGUUGGCGGGAAUGUGGCAUCCUCGGAUGUGUUAUAGCCCGCUUUCGAAUACAUCGCCCGGGACUGAGGAACGCAGCACGCCUCUUGUAGGUCGGUCUUCGGACACGUCCGUGCUUAGGAUGCUGGCAUAAUGGCUUUAAACGACCCGUCUUGAAACACGGACCAAGGAGUCUAACAUGUUUGCGAGUGUUUGGGUGGAAAACCCGAGCGCGUAAUUAAAGUGAAUGCAGGUGGGAUGCGCAAGCAGCACCAUCGACCGAUCUGGAUCUUUUGUGAUGGAUUUGAGUAAGAGCACAUAUGUUGGGACCCGAAAGAUGGUGAACUAUGCCUGAAUAGGGCGAAGCCAGAGGAAACUCUGGUGGAGGCUCGUAGCGAUUCUGACGUGCAAAUCGAUCGUCAAAUUUGGGUAUAGGGGCGAAAGACUAAUCGAACCAUCUAGUAGCUGGUUCCUGC